UGACUGGGAGUUGUAGUUCACUGCCACUGUCCAGAAUCACCAGAGAAUAUCAUACCACAUAUCGCUAGCUGGGAAAAGAUCAAAAUUCAAAAUUUGAAGUAGAGUUUCUACUGAAUACAUAUUGCUUUCACACCAUCGUAAAGUCGAAAAAUUGUGAGUUGAAUUAUUGUA